rnacentral:rRNA from 1 species
CACGUAGGGGGCGAGCGUUGUCCGGAUUUAUUGGGCGUAAAGAGCUCGUAGGCGGCUCAGUAAGUCAGGUGUGAAAACUCCAGGCUCAACCUGGAGACGCCACUUGAUACUGCUGUGGCUAGAGUCCGGUAGGGGAGCAUGGAAUUCCUGGUGUAGCGGUGAAAUGCGCAGAUAUCAGGAGGAACACCAGCGGCGAAGGCGGCGCUCUGGGCCGGAACUGACGCUGAGGAGCGAAAGCGUGGGUAGCAAACAGG